rnacentral:tRNA from 1 species
UCCUCCAUAGUUCAGUCGGUAGAACGGCGGACUGUUAAUCCGUAUGUC